AGUUUGGCGGUUCUGGUACCGCUCUCAUAUUGGGGCGGGAUGUGGGAGCGGCUGAACUGCGCAGCAGAGGAGUUUUAUUCUCGUCUCCUUCAGUGUCCUGCAGAGAUAAAGUGAUGACUGACUCCUGAGUGUGAAUAACAGGAGAGAUAAUGUAGUUCUGUUUUUCACAUGUGGUUCUGCGUUUCAGGAAAUUUAAUGAAGAAAAGAAAGGAAUCCGUAAAGACCCAUUUCUCUAUGAGGCUGAUGUCCAAGUGCAGUUGAUCAGCAAAGGCCAACCAAACCCUUUGAAAAAUGUUCUAAAUGAAAAUGACAUAGUAUUCAUAGUGGAAAAAGUGAUGGAGUCUCGCUCUGUCACUCAGGCUGGAGUGCAGUGGCAUGAUCUCAGCUCACUGCAACCUUCACCUCCCGAGUUCAAGCGAUUCCCCUGCCUCAGCCUCCCAAGUAGCUGGGAUUACAGGCGCCUGCCACCACGCCUGGCUAAUUUUUUGUGUGUAUUUUUAGUAGAGAAAGGGUUUCACCAUAUUAGCCAGG
rnacentral:sRNA from 1 species